AAACAAUGAAGUAAAAUCCAUAAAUGAAUUCAAAUGUCUGGUAAUUCAAUUUAUCCAAGCUUGAAAGGAGUGAAACAAUAAAUUUCGGAGUUAAAGCUCCCCCUUUCAUUUGGAAUUAUAUAAGCCUUCAUAUUAUGCAAUCAAUUGUUUGGCUUAUAUGUUAUUAAUGAUUUAGCUUGAUUAAAAUUCAGAUUCUCCCCCUCAACAUAUGCAUUCUACUUUGUUUUGACUCUUUGAAUUUCCUUUUAAUGCUUUGAAGUUUUUGAACUGAAUUUUUUUUUGGUUUUUAGAGAGAAAAUCUGUCAAUUUGUUCUUGAGUAGGAUUCAGCUAAUCUCCGAAUAUCCCUUGAAUAGAUUCUGGAGAUUACUCCAUUAGGAGCCCCAAAAGAGAGAUAAUGAGCCUCGAGGUACCGAAUCACUUAGAACAAA
rnacentral:lncRNA from 1 species